rnacentral:rRNA from 1 species
UACGAAGGGUGCAAGCGUUACUCGGAAUUACUGGGCGUAAAGCGUGCGUAGGCGGUUAGUUAAGUCUGCUGUGAAAGCCCUGGGCUCAACCUGGGAACUGCAGUGGAUACUGGCUAGCUAGAGUGUGUCAGAGGAUGGUGGAAUUCCCGGUGUAGCGGUGAAAUGCGUAGAUAUGUGGAGGAACACCAAUGGCGAAGGCAGCCCCCUGGGAUAGCACUGACGCUCAUGUACGAAAGCGUGGGUAGCAAACAGG